GAUGAACGCUAGCUACAGGCUUAACACAUGCAAGUCGAGGGGAAACGACAUCGAAAGCUUGCUUUUGAUGGGCGUCGACCGGCGCACGGGUGAGUAACGCGUAUCCAACCUGCCCAUCACUUGGGAAUAACCUUGCGAAAGUAAGACUAAUACCCAAUGACAUCCCACGAAGACAUCUGAAUGGGAUUAAAGAUUUAUCGGUGAUGGAUGGGGAUGCGUCUGAUUAGCUUGUUGGCGGGGUAACGGCCCACCAAGGCAACGAUCAGUAGGGGUUCUGAGAGGAAGGUCCCCCACAUUGGAACUGAGACACGGUCCAAACUCCUACGGGAGGCAGCAGUGAGGAAUAUUGGUCAAUGGGCGAGAGCCUGAACCAGCCAAGUAGCGUGCAGGAUGACGGCCCUAUGGGUUGUAAACUGCUUUUAUAAGGGAAUAAAGUGGGUCUCGUGAGACCUUUUGCAUGUACCUUAUGAAUAAGGACCGGCUAAUUCCGUG
rnacentral:rRNA from 1 species